CCUGGCUCAGAUUGAACGCUGGCGGCAUGCCUUACACAUGCAAGUCGAACGGCAGCACGGGCUUCGGCCUGGUGGCGAGUGGCGAACGGGUGAGUAAUGCAUCGGAACGUGCCCAUUUGUGGGGGAUAACUACGCGAAAGCGUGGCUAAUACCGCAUACGCCCUGAGGGGGAAAGCGGGGGAUUCUUCGGAACCUCGCGCAAUUGGAGCGGCCGAUGUCAGAUUAGCUUGUUGGUGAGGUAAAGGCUCACCAAGGCGACGAUCUGUAGCGGGUCUGAGAGGAUGAUCCGCCACACUGGGACUGAGACACGGCCCAGACUCCUACGGGAGGCAGCAGUGGGGAAUUUUGGACAAUGGGGGCAACCCUGAUCCAGCCAUGCCGCGUGAGUGAAGAAGGCCUCGGUUGGUAAAGUACGUCUUUCUAGCCGGGACGAAAACGGACGACUACUCUACAUAGGU
rnacentral:rRNA from 1 species